CAGCACCUCAAGUGGUCAGGAGGAUUAUUGGGCCUAAAGCAUCCGUAGCCGGCUCUGUAAGUUUUCGGUUAAAUCCAUGUGCUCAACGCAUGGGCUGCCGAAAAUACCGCAUAGCUAGGGAGUGGGAGAGGUAGACGGUACUCGGUAGGAAGGGGUAAAAUCCUUUGAUCUAUCGAUGACCACCUGUGGCGAAGGCGGUC
rnacentral:rRNA from 1 species